CAAUGGGCACCUCAGCACCGUGGUGCCCACACUCACAUCCAAGGCCAACAACGGACACCUCAGCACCGUGGUGCCCACAUCCCACUCAGGGUCUGUCCCCCCGCCAGGUGGUCGGCCCUCCUUGGUGACGGGACUGCUGGUGGCUGUAAUUCUUCUGGCCAAGGUCGCAUAAUGCCCUAUCGCUCAAGGCCCAGCACCACAGGAAGCCUCCAGGAGCUGCCUGCAAGGCCCUGAGCCCGCCUUCUCGCCGGGAUGGUGUAC